rnacentral:rRNA from 1 species
GAUGAACGCUGGCGGCGUGCCUAAUACAUGCAAGUCGAGCGGACCAAAGAGAGCUUGCUCUCUGAGGUUAGCGGCGGACGGGUGAGUAACACGUGGGUAACCUGCCUGUAAGACGGGGAUAACUUCGGGAAACCGAAGCUAAUACCGGAUGAUAAAGAGAAACGCCUGUUUCCUUUUUGAAAGUCGGCCUUGUGCUGACGCUUACAGAUGGGCCCGCGGCGCAUUAGCUAGUUGGUGAGGUAACGGCUCACCAAGGCGACGAUGCGUAGCCGACCUGAGAGGGUGAUCGGCACACUGGGACUGGGACACGGCCCAGACUCCUACGGGAGGCAGCAGUAGGGAAUCUUCGGCAAUGGACGAAGGUCUGACCGAGCAACGCCGCGUGAGCGAUGAAGGCCUUCGGGUCGUAAAGCUCUGUUGUCAGAGAAGAACAAGUACCGGAGUAACUGCCGGUACCUUGACGGUACCUGACCAGAAAGCCACGGCUAACUACGUGCCAGCCGCCGCAGUAAGAC